rnacentral:tRNA from 1 species
GCGGGUGUCGUAUAAUGGCUAUUACCACAGGUUUCCAACCUGUUGACAGGGGUUCGAUCGAUUCCCCUCACCCGCUCCA